rnacentral:rRNA from 1 species
UACAGAGGGUGCGAGCGUUAAUCGGAAUUACUGGGCGUAAAGCGUGCGUAGACGGUUAUUUAAGUCGGAGUGUGAAAGCCCCGGGCUCAACCUGGGAAUUGCAUUCGAGACUGAAUAGCUAGGGUGCGGUAGAGGGAAGCGGAAUUUCCGGUGUAGCGGUGAAAUGCGUAGAUAUCGGAAGGAACAUCAGUGGCGAAAGCGGCUUCCUGGACCAGCACCGACGUUCAGGCACGAAAGCGUGGGGAGCAAACAGG